UCUCCUUUGUCAGAUUAUGUAGGUCACUUUUCUCUCCCACAAUUUUCUCUGUAACCAGCAGAGCCGACAGCCGAGCAUCAGCUGUUCAACCGGCUUGGAAUCAAUCGUGGGGGACCAGGGAAAUAGCGAAAAGUUUUACAUUUAUUUGCUCAGAAAUCACAUGUAGCCUUUGAACUUGGUCACUAACAAAACAGAGAUGGAAAUGAGGUGUUGCUCGUGGCCAGCACUGUGCUUUGUCUUGGUUCUUCUGACACCAGUAGCAUCGCAAUGGCCAGGAAAGUGGCUUGGAAACGGCAAGAUGUUCUCUCUGAUGACAAGAGCCAAAUCUUUAAAAUGUUCCUAGCCGUUGCCGGAGAUUUGGUUCGUCCGGCCAUGCACUGCAGAAGUCCUAGUAAAACUCCUUGUAUGCUAUUUUUAUCCCACUAGUUGUUUUCUGGUUAUGAUGGGAUCCCUGAUUAAUUUGCCAUCACCAGAGGGGUCCCCAUUCCAAAAAAGUUUGAGAACACCUGCUCUAAGGCAAAAAAUAUUGGUGAAAGUAAUGAUACAAUUAGUUUUCAUUGGUAUUUGGUGAAUUAUGUUGAACUGUGUUUUUAAGAUUUUGGUCGAUUCAGUGAUAGUUGCUCAGUGAAAGUGUGUUUCAUAGCAUAGUCCCAUGGAUAGCAUAGUUCCACAAGCAAACACUAUGUGCUGGAUUGACAUUCUAUACCCAAUAAAAAUUGAA